rnacentral:rRNA from 1 species
CUGAACGCCUGGCGGCGUGGCUAAGACAUGCAAGUCGUACGGGGUAGCAAUACCCAGUGGCGAACGGGUGAGUAAUGUAUCGCUAACCGUGCCCCCGAGUCAGGGAUAGCUGCCCGAAAGGGCAGGUAAUACCUGAUGAGACCACGGACCGGGCACCCGGACGUGCUCAAAAGCAGCAAUGCGCUCAGGGAGCGGGCGAUAUCGUAUCAGCUAGUUGGUGAGGGUAACGGCUCACCAAGGCGACGACGCGUAGCCGGACUGAGAGGUUUGGCCGGCCACAUUGGGAACUGAGACCACUGCCCAGACUCCUACGGGGGGGCUGCAGUAACGAAAUCUUCCGCAAAUGCACGAAAAGUGUGACGGAGCGGACGCCGCGUUGUGGGACGAAGUCCUUCGGGAUGUAAACCACUGUCAGGGGUUACCAAGUUCUGAGGAGCCCCAGAGGAAGGCACGGCUAACUCUGUGCCAGCAGCCGCGGUAAGACAGAGGGUGCCAAGCGUUAGGGCGGAAUCACUGGGCUUAAAGCGUGUGUAGGGCGGAUCGUUAAGUACCUUGUGAAAUCCCACGGCCUCAAACCGUGGAACUGCUGGGUUAUACUGGCGGUCUUGAGCCCACCUAGGGGCGAGCGGAACAAACGGUGGGGCGGUGAAAUGCGUAGAUAUCGUUUGGAACGCCAACGGUGAAAGGAAACAGCUCGCUGGGGGGUGUUGCUGACGCUGAGACACGGAAAGCCAGGGGAGCGAACGGGAUUAGAUAACCCCGGUAGUCCCUGGCCCUAAACGAUGUCGACUAGAUCGUAGUGCCUCUGACGGUAUUACGGUCGAAGCAAAAGUGCUAAGUGAGCUACGCUGAAGUCGACCGCCUGGGAAGUACGGUCGCAAGGCUAAAACUCAAAGGAAUUGACGGGGGCUCACACAAGCGGUGGAGCAUGUGGUUUAUUAAUUCGAAGCAACGCGCAGAACCUUACCUGGGCUUUGACAUGCCAGGAUUAUCCCCAUGAAAGUGGGGUACACCUCGCAAGAGGUGGAACUGGUUACAGGUGCUUGCAUGGCUUGUCGUCAGCUUCGUGUCGUGAGAUGUCGGGUUAAGUCCCUUAACGAGCGAAAACCUUUGCCCUUAGUUACCAGCGGGUUAUGCCGGGGACUCUAAGGGGACUGCCGGUGUCAAAACCGGAGGAAGGUGGAGAUGACGUCAAGUCCUCAUGGCCUUUAUGCCCAGGGCCACACACGUGCUACAAUGGGGUGCACAAGAGCGAAACCUAAAGCGCGAGCUCAUGGAAAAUCGCAGAAAUCACCCCCCAGUUCAGAUCGGAGGCUGCAAACUUCGCCUCCGUUGAAGUUGGGAAAUCGCUAGUAAUCGCGGAUCAGCUACGCCGCGGUGAAUGUGUUCCUGAGCCUUGUACACACCGCCCCGUCAAAGUCAUGGGAGCCCGGGAAUAGCCGAAGAGUCGCCUCGCCUCAGAGGUGCCUACGCUAGGCUCGGUGACUGGGACU